rnacentral:tRNA from 1 species
GUCAGGAUGGCCGAGUGGUCUAAGGCGCCAGACUCAAGCGAAGCUUCCCCGCCUUGGGGAUUCUGGUCUCCGUAUGGAGGCGUGGGUUCGAAUCCCACUUCUGACAC